UGAAGGGAGGAUGGCGGAUCUGCUACCUUUUGCGGUUCCCACCAAGAGUGACAAAACCUUGCUAGUGUAGGAGCUGAGCUCUGGACCCACGGCCGACGCUUUGCAUAGACAAGGUCUCGCUGUGUUGCUCAUGCUGGUUUUGAAUUCCUGGCCUCAAGCCAUCCUCCCAUCUUGGCCUCCCAGAGAGCAGGAUUACAGGCUGUUUCUCUUGGAGGUGGUGCAGGAGGUUGAGGAAAGCACCUCUGAUGAGCAGAUAGCUGGAGGCUGUUCCCACAGUCAUGUCUCAGCGAAGAAGUCGGAGUCCAGCAGCCAUCAGAACCAAGGGAUUCAACUUGGUGUCAUCUUCAAAGAGAGAAGACAGAAGGAGCGAGAUUAGUGGAAUCAUUACAGCCUUUGUCACUCUGAGUCCAGAUGGGAUGAAAGUUCAGCCCAAACUUUCAUUUUAGAGAGAGAGGGUCUUGCUCCGUCACACAGGCUGGAGUGCAGUGGUACAAUCACAGUUCACUGCAGCCCCGACCUCCUGAACUCAAGUGAUCCUCCCAACUCAGCCUCCCGAGUAGCUGCGUCUGGCUAAUUAAAAAAUAUUUUUUUGAGAUGAGGUCUCACUGUGUUGCCCAGGCUGGUCUCCAACUCGUGGGCUCAAGCAAUCUUCUUACCUCAGCCUCUCAGAGCACUGGGAUUACAGGCGAGAGCCACCUCACCUGGCCUAACAAGGACCUCCAAGGAAGAGGAAGCAGGGGUAAAGAGAGGCAAGAAAUGCCACUGAAGACCGGGCAUGGUGGCUCAUGCCUGUAAUUCCAACACUGGACAUGGUGGCUCACGCCUGAAAUCCCAGCACCAGGCGUGGUGGCUCACACCUGUAAUCCCAGCACUUUGGGAGGCCAAGGUGGGUGGAUCACUUGAGGUCAGGAGUUCAAAACCAGCCUGGCCGACAGAGUGAAACGCUAUUUCUAUUAAAAAUACAAAAAUUAGCCGGGCAUGGUGGCGGGUGCCUGUAAUCCCAGCUACUUGGGAGGCUGAGGCAGGGGAAUCACUUGAACCUGGGAGAUAGAGAUUGCAGUGAGCCGAGAUCACACCACUGCACUCUAGCCUGGGCAACAGAGUGAGACUGUCUCAAAAAAAAAAAAAAAAAAAAAAGAAGAAGAAGAAGAAGAAGAAAUGCCACUAAGGCAGGGAGAAGGCCAUGGCUUCAGCAGGAAGCUGGGGGCACCACAAGAUGGGAGAGGAAAUGAAGACCUUCAUAAAACAACAAGAAGGAAGAUGCUGUCCUCCUUCCCGCAGUCUCAGCCGUCCCAGCCCCAUCCCGAAGAGCAUCCACUGCGGAUCCUGUGGGUUCCACAACAGCAGGUGGCUGCCUUCAGCAUGGGUGAGUGGGGUGCAGAGGGCCAGGGUCCCAUGGUUUAUGGAGGCCACCUGCUAAAUCCCUCCAUUGCCUCCUGCCUGUGGACCGCAGCAUCACCUCCUCUAAGGAGAAUACAAUGACAAACUGAGGCCCAUCCAGUUCCUGGAUCACCUUUUCUGGUGGCUCAGUCUAGGCGUUCUCAGAGGUACAGCUUUCCCGGGUUUCAGUUAUGUGGGAAUAACAAUAGCUGUCCUAGAUCAAGCCCUAACCCCCACCCCAAGCCCGGAAUGGACCCGUCAGUGUCAGAGCUGCGGCCGAUGUGCUCAACUCCACCUAGGUGGUUCUCACCCUUACCCUAUCUCUGGGAGGGAGGUGGCAUCAGGCUUGGAUUACAAAAGAGAGAUGGAGGGCCCCGAAAAGUUAGGUGGCUGCACAAAACAGGAGUCAGUCAUGGGCCUGGGACAUGAAGCCAGUCUGCUUGACUCCAGAGCUCUUUCCGGGAUGGUGGAAUGACCCCUACUCACUCGGCAAUGGGGUGAACUCCACGGCCGACAUGCUGGUGACCUUGCUGGGGUCCAGCUCUAUGCGGUGGUAUUCAAAGAUGCUCCUUCGCCGAGAUUCUGAAACAGAGGCAGAGCCUGUUGUCAGGAGCAUAUCACAGGCAGAGGGCAUCGAGGCCUCUUCCCAGACAGUCUGACAGGUCAGCCUGCUGCACUGAAGGCAGUAAGUGCACCCAGCAGCCUGGGACAAUGAUGUUGGCGCUGCUGGUGACAGGGACAGGUGUGGACCUGGAGAGGAGAGUGUCGUGGUGUGAGGCUAAGUGACUCAACGCAGAGACCUGGCUGCUCUUGGGGGCAGGACAAAUGGGAUCCCAUGCUUGCUUCUCCUUGCCUCUGCACCUUCACAACUGCUAUUCCCCUGACCCAAGAUGUUCUUCCACCCCUUCUUCCUGUCUAGCUCAUCCUUGCAGAUCUAGCUCAAGGGCCACUUCCCCUGAGCAGCCCUCCUUGGCCAGCUCCCUCCUCUGCCUGGCUCAGGCCAGGUGCCCCCCUCCCACUGCACUCAUCACACUGUGUGGACAUGAGGGUCUAUUUGGAGGCUGGGGAUGUGUGAGACCAUGAUCAUCUGGUCCUGAACCUCGCUGAGUGCUCUGUGAAUGUCUGCAGAUGGACAGGCUGACUUUUGCAUGUUGCUGUCCACCAUCCACCUCACCCCUCCUGGACGAAUCCCCCAGCAAGGCUCAGGGCUUGCAGCCGGGCUCAAGUCCUACUUUGGUCCCUGCAGAAACUUCUCACAGGACCUCAGAGUCAGGAGAUCCAAGUUCGUUCUAGUUCUGCUCACGACUUGCUGGAUAACCUCAGGCAAGUCAUUUGGACCUCAGUUUCUUGUCUGUGGAGUGGAAAGACAGAAACACCUACCACAACACCCUUGGGAGGAAAAAGCUGGAACUGUAGAUGAAAGGCUUCUUUUUUAAAAUGACAAUCUGAGGUGCUCUGAUACUUCUCUCUAGGCCACGAUACCCACCCAGGAACCAUGACUUGGGGUUGGUUUUCUUCAAUUUUGAAAGGCAGGCAGCCCAGCCAGGCAUGGUGGCUCACGCCUGUAAUCCCAGCACUUUGGGAGGCCGAGGCAGGUGGAUCACUUGAGGUCAGGAGUUCGAGACCAGCCUGGCCAACAGGGUUUUUGGUAGAAACCCUGUCUCUACUAAAAAUACAAAAAUUAGCUGGGUGUGGUGGUACACGCCUGUAAUCCCAGCUACUUGAGAGGCUGAGGCAGGAGAAUCGCUUGAACCUGGGAGGCAGAGGUUGCAGUCAGCUGAGAUUGUGCCACUGCACUCUAGCCUGGGUGACAAGAGCAAGACUCUGAAAAGAAAAAAAAAAAAAAAGAGAGGGAGAGAGAGAGAGAAAGAAAGAAAGAAAGAAAGAGAAAAAGAAUAGAAAGAAAGAAAAGAAAGAAAAAAGAAUAAGAAGCAGACAGCCAGGAAUUGAGCUUUGAGAAUGAGUUACCCCACAAGAGGAAAGAGCCACUCAGUGUUUGGUCCGCCCAACACCCUUUCGUCUUCUGGAAACAGCAGCAUUCCCCUUGGGGUACUGUGCCUGGCCCAUUCCUACAGGUGGACUGAACCACAGCUGCCAUCUUCUUCCAUGAUCCUGCCUCUCUGGCCACGCUGUGAUUGGUCCAGGCCUGGGUAUCGGCUGUGAGCUGGACCAAUCAGAGACCUCCCCUGGGACUUUUCAACCGUAACCAAGAGGCCUUUUGCUGUCUGGUAAUGAAGCUGAGAAGAUGCAAGCUCAGAGCCUGUGAAUGGCCACAGUACCGGGCUCAUGGGGAAAGGCAGAGAAUGAAGCCACCUCAUGGAGAGAAACAGGAAGUGCUGGACGGCAUAUUUCUUGUCAGCAAGUCUGAUGGGUCCCCCAGUUCCCCGCUGCUGUGGAGAGAGAGGAGGCCCACAGAGGCGGCCUGACCGCGGUACUGUGCUGGCACUCCAGACGCCCUGUUCCCACCCGUCAUCCUGCAGGCCUCUCCUCUCUUCUGCUGCUUCUCCUGCUUCUCCUGCUUCUGCCUGCUUCUCCUGCUGUGGAUGCCACUGCCCCCACCCUAGCUUCCCCUUGUUUCUUCCUGAUUACUGUUUCUUGCUUUUGCCCCCACUGGAGAAUGAGGUCAUGGGAGCAGUAGGGGACGGCAGUGCUCAGGUGGUGAAUGGACUGGGGACCCUGGAGACUGAGGUGAAUUUCCCACGCCCCCUCUGAGGGCUGCUCAGAGAGUACUUAUCUUGGAAUCCAUCUCCCCGCAACACACACCCAUUGACUCCCAUGGGGAGAGGCGGUGGAGAGGACUUUAGCCUUGGUCUUCCUUUCCUACCAGGAGGAUGACAGCUCCAGCCCUGCAGCUCCUUCCUUCGCCCGACUCCUGCACUGGAGCCGGAUGGUUUAGAAUGAGAUCCAGGCCUCCUCCCACGUCUCCCUCCCUUCCUUCCAUCCCAGGCAGAUCAGGGAACUUGCUCCUCCUCAGGAAAGCAGCUGGACAGAGUGGGUGGGAUGAGGAGUCCAGGUGGUCCCCAAGGCGAGCACUGCGCAGGUGUGGGCUUUAUGAGAGAGGAGAUGAACUACAGCUUCAGAGACUCAGACAUAUCAGGUUGAGAGAGCAAGGGAGUUAAGAAGUCAAGUUGGCUGUACACCUGUAAUCUCAGCAUUUUGGGAGGCUGAGGCAGGUGGAUCACUUGAGGUCAGGAGUUUGCAACCAGUCUGGCCAACAUGGUGAAACCCCGUCUCUACUAAAAAUUUAAAAAAUUAGCCAGGCAUGGUGGUGAGCACCUGUAAUCCCAGCUACUUGGGAGGCUAAGGCGGGAGAAU